GACGAACGCUGGCGGCGUGCUUAACACAUGCAAGUCGAACGGAAAGGCCUUUUCGGAGGUACUCGAGUGGCGCACGGGUGAGUAACACGUGGGUGAUCUGCCCUGCACUCUGGGAUAAGCCUGGGAAACUGGGUCUAAUACCGGAUAGGACCGCACUUUAGUGUGUGUGGUGGAAAGUUUUUUCGGUGUAGGAUGAGCCCGCGGCCUAUCAGCUUGUUGGUGGGGUAAUGGCCUACCAAGGCGGCGACGGGUAGCCGGACUGAGAGGUUGGUCGGCCACAUUGGGACUGAGAUACGGCCCAGACUCCUACGGGGGGCAGCAGUGGGGAAUAUUGCACAAUGGGCGCAAGCCUGAUGCAGCGACGCCGCGUGGGGGAUGACGGCCUUCGGGUUGUAAACUCCUUUCGCCAGGGACGAAGCGUUUUGUGACGGUACCUGGAGAAGAAGCACCGGCUAACUACGUG
rnacentral:rRNA from 1 species